UGACCUCAACUCAGGCAAGACUACCUGCUGAACUUAAGCAUAUCAGUAAGCAGAGGAAAAGAAAACAACUGUGAUUCCCUUAGUAACUGCGAGUGAAGCGGGAAAAGCCCAUCGUUUAAUCUUCCUGGACCAUGGACAGGACGAAAUGUAACGGUAUGGAUAGGUUUUCUACCAACAAAGUCUGGUCAAAGUCCUCCGGAUUGAGGUGCCAAAGAGGGUGACAGCCCCGUGUGUGAUCAGACUUGAUAUGUUGGGUAUGUGACCGAUUCCGAGAGUCGGGUUGUUUGGGACUGCAACCUAAAGUAGGUGGUAAACUCCACCCAAGGCUAAAUAUUGACACGAAACCGAUAGCGAACAAGUACUGUGAAGGAAAGUUGAAAAGAACUCUGAAAAGAGAGUUAAAAGUACGUGAAACCGCUAACGGGGAAGCGGAAGGCAGUGUCGAGAUUGAGUGAGUGAGUCGGCUCAAACUCAUUUCAAAUGAGAUUGUGUGUUGAGUGGAAUGUGAGUUUGAGUAGGCUAGCUUUGCUUGAUGCGUCAGGGCUAUUGGCACUAAAGAGGUUAAAUGGCCAGCAGUUUUGGCUUUCACAGCCAAUGAUUUAUUGUUGGCGUGGAUGCGGCUGGUCAUCCGUCUCUUGUGCUGAUAUGUGUGUGUGGAAGCGUUGGUGAUGUAUUGUCGGUUGGUGUCGUGUGGUGGUUCGUUCUGGUCACAGUGUGGCUACGUGCGGACAAGUCAUGUGGUAGUUCAACAACCAAUGCUAGAUCCUGGCGUGAUACCCAACUUUC
rnacentral:rRNA from 1 species